rnacentral:rRNA from 1 species
CGCGUAGGCGGCCGCUCAAGUGGAAGGUGAAAUCCCCGGCUCAACCGGGGAACUGCCUUCCAAACUGAGUGGCUUGAGUCCGGGAGAGGUGAGUGGAAUUCCCAGUGUAGCGGUGAAAUGCGUAGAUAUUGGGAGGAACACCGGUGGCGAAGGCGGCUCACUGGACCGGAACUGACGCUGAGGCGCGAAAGCGUGGGGAGCAAACG